rnacentral:rRNA from 1 species
UACGAAGGGGCUAGCGUUGCUCGGAAUUACUGGGUCGUAAAGGGAGCGUAGGCGGACAUUUAAGUCAAGGGGUGAAAUCCCAGAGCUCAACUCUGGAACUGCCUUUGAUACUGGGUGUCUUGAGUGUGAGAGAGGUAUGUGGAACUCCGAGUGUAGAGGUGAAAUUCGUAGAUAUUCGGAAGAACACCCGUGGUCGAAGGCGGUU